GGGUCAGUAGGUUGGUCGUGCCACCGGUACGUACUGGUCUCACUGAUUCCUCCUUCCUGAAGAACCGUAAUGCCAUUAAUUUGGUGUUGCGGGGAAACAGGACUGUUACUUUGAAAAAAUUAGAGUGUUUAAAGCAAGCUAACGCUUGAAUACAUUAGUAUGGAAUAAUGAAAUAGGACGAUCGAUCCUAUUUUGUUGGUUUCUAGGAUUGACGUA
rnacentral:rRNA from 1 species